UCGACGGUAACAGGAAGUAGCUUGCUACUUUGCUGACGAGUGGCGCACGGGUGAGUAAACUAUAGUUAAUGUGCCUCGAAGACUGGGAUAGCCACUGGAAACGGUGAUUAAUACUAGAUACACCUCUUUAGCUCAAGCUAGAGAGGGAAACGUUUUUUCGCUUCGAGAUCAGACUAUAUCCUAUCAGUUAGUUGGUGAGGUAAUGGCUCACCAAGGCAAUGACGGGUAGCGGUUCUGAGAGGAUGAUCCGCCACACUGGUACUGAGACACGGACCAGACUCCUACGGGAGGCAGCAGUGAGGAAUAUUGCACAAUGGGGGAAACCCUGAUGCAGCAACGCCGCGUGGAGGAUGACGCAUUUCGGUGUGUAAACUCCUUUUAUAUGUCAAGAAAAUGACGGUAGCAUAUGAAUAAGCACCGGCUAACUCCGUGCCAGCAGCCGCGGUAAUACGGAGGGUGCAAGCGUUACUCGGAAUCACUGGGCGUAAAGGACGCGUAGGCUGUUUUGCAAGUCAGAUGUGAAAUCCAAUGGCUCAACCAUUGAACUGCAUUUGAAACUGCUAGACUAGAGUAUGGGAGGGGGAGAUGGAAUUAGUGGUGUAGGGGUAAAAUCCGUAGAUAUCACUAGGAAUACCUAAAGCGAAGGCGAUCUCCUG
rnacentral:rRNA from 1 species